UCCCUGGAGGAUUAGUGGUUAGGCCACAGCGCUCUCACCACUGUAGCCCGGGUUUGAUCCCUGGCCAGGGCU